rnacentral:rRNA from 1 species
GACGUAGGGGGCCAGCGUUGCGCGGAAUUACUGGGUGUAAAGGGUUCGUAGGCGGUGUGGCAAGUCGGGAGUGAAAUCUCUGGGCUCAACCCAGAGUCUGCUUCCGAAACUGCUGUGCUUGAGUGUGGGAGAGGCGCGUGGAAUUGCAGGUGUAGCGGUGAAAUGCGUAGAUAUCUGCAGGAACACCCGUGGCGAAAGCGGCGCGCUGGACCACUACUGACGCUGAGGAACGAAAGCUAGGGGAGCAAACAGG